AGCACUUUAGGAUGCCAAGGCGGGCAGAUCACUUGAAGUCAGGAGUUUGAGACCAGCCUGACCACCACGGUGAAAUCUCGUCUCUACUAAAAAUUACAAAAAUUAGCUGGGCAUGGUGGCACAUGCCUCUACUUGGGAGGCUGAAGCAGGAGAAUCGCUUGAACCCAGGAGUCAGAGGAUGUGAAAUAGAGUUUCACCAUGCUGCCCAGGCUGGUCUCAAACUCAUGAGCUCAAGCAAUCCCCCCGCCUUGGCCUCACAAAGUGCUGGGAUUACAGGCAUGAGCCACUGCACCCAGCCGAGCCAGUUGUUAAACAUCUACCAACACACCCUGAUUCUGGUUCUAGUGGAAGUUUCACCACAUCUAGCCAUGGGUCCUUGGAUGUGGAAACAGUGGCAAUGAACUUCACCUCUACAUGCCUGAUUUUCUCACCUGCAAAGUGGAGAUUCAACCAAAUCUACCUCAUAAGGAUGGCAGCAGCAAUUCCAAGAACAACAACAGCAAGAAGAAUAAGAGAGAUCAUCUUUUCCUGGGGCUCUAUCUUAGAAAGAAGGGAGAAGGAAUGCUGGCAAUUUAUUGUGCAGGAAGAGAUAUACAAAGUCCAAGCAGGUUAGGUACCAAAAAGUGACAUUUCUGUUAUUGGUAGCCGCUGUGACCUAUUGAUAAACAGAGCAAUUGAUAAACACCAAUUAGAUGCCCUGAAUCAUUCCCAGCAGCUAUCAGUGAAAUUAACACCAGCAACAAUGAAAGCAAAGAAUGUUCCUGCGCCUCAGAUUGGGAAGAGGGGCAGCUGUUAAACUCACAUCUUCUCAUGGAGACUCAUUAUGCACAUGAAUAUAUGAGAAGCUCUGUGCAGUCUUGUAGGAAGAAAACUGUUUAACUGUUUCACCCAAUGUUUUCCAAGUCCAUUUGAUAACAGAAGCCACUUUUCAUCUAACACCUAUUAGCAUCCUGUGGAACUAGUGUUAUGAAAGACACACCUUAAGAAAAACUCAUCUACCUCAACCUCAGAAGUUUCAGAAAAUUGUGCAUCUUUUCCUGUUCUUUCAUUUUAUUAAAAAUAAACCUGACAUUG